rnacentral:rRNA from 1 species
ACAGUGGACGCGAGCAUCUGUGGCCAAGUUUUUAAGGGCGCACGGUGGAUGCCUUGGCACCAGGAACCGAUGAAGGACGUGGGAGGCCACGAUAGUCCCCGGGGAGUCGUCAACCAGGCUUUGAUCCGGGGGUUUCCGAAUGGGGAAACCCGGCAGUCGUCAUGGGCUGUCACCCGCUGCUGAACACAUAGGCAGUGUGGAGGGAACGAGGGGAAGUGAAACAUCUCAGUACCCUCAGGAAGAGAAAACAACCGUGAUUCCGGGAGUAGUGGCGAGCGAAACCGGAUGAGGCCAAACCGUAUGCGUGUGAUACCCGGCAGGGGUUGCGUAUGCGGGGUUGUGGGAUCUCUUUUCUGCGGUCUGCCGGCCGUGGGACGAGUCAGAAACCGUAUGGAUAGGCGAAGGGCAUGCGAAAGGCCCGGCGUAGAGGGUAAGACCCCCGUAGCUGAAAUUCAUGCGGCUCGUUUAAGAGACACCCAAGUAGCACGGGGCCCGAGAAAUCCCGUGUGAAUCUGGCGGGACCACCCGUUAAGCCUAAAUAUUCCCUGGUGACCGAUAGCGGAUAGUACCGUGAGGGAAUGGUGAAAAGUACCGCGGGAGCGGAGUGAAAUAGUACCUGAAACCGUGUGCCUACAAGCCGUGGGAGCGUCGG